AACGAACGCUGGCGGCAUGCCUAACACAUGCAAGUCGAACGAGACCUUCGGGUCUAGUGGCGCACGGGUGCGUACCGCGUGGGAACCUGCCCUUAGGUUCGGAAUAACUCCCCGAAAGGGGUGCUAAUACCGGAUAAUGUCUUCGGACCAAAGAUUUAUCGCCUUUGGAUGGGCCCUCGUUGGAUUAGCUAGUUGGUAGGGUAAAAGCCUACCAAGGCGACGAUCCAUAGCUGGUCUGAGAGGAUGAUCAGCCACACUGGGACUGAGACACGGCCCAGACUCCUACGGGAGGCAGCAGUGGGGAAUAUUGGACAAGGGGCGAAAGCCUGAUCCAGCAAUGCCGCGGGAGUGAUGAAGGCCUUAGGGUUGUAAAGCUCUUUUACCCGGGAUGAUAAUGACAGUACCGGGAGAAUAAGCUCCGGCUAACUCCGUG
rnacentral:rRNA from 1 species